UACGAAGGGGCUAGCGUUGCUCGGAAUCACUGGGCGUAAAGCGCACGUAGGCGGCUUUUAAGUCAGGGUGAAAUCCUGGAGCUCAACUCCAGAACUGCCUUUGAUACUGAGAGGCUCGAGUCCGGGAGAGGUGAGUGGAACUGCGAGUGUAGAGGUGAAAUUCGUAGAUAUUCGCAAGAACACCAGUGGCGAAGGCGGCUCACUGGCCCGGUACG
rnacentral:rRNA from 1 species